UUUGACCCUGUUUAUCACCCCAUUUCUCUUCCUCUUGUAGAUACCAGCACCAGUACUGGUCAGGCCAAACCUGCGAGCCGGCUCCUUCCUCAGCACCAGCUGCCGCGGAGGAACCAGAUCAUCAGGAGAGGUGGUGUUUUUCCUCGUGGAAGUCGGGGUCGAGGACUCAACAGAGGCACUCCCUUCUAAAUCCACUCGCCUUUACAGCGUCUGACCAGCAGAAACACCAUGAAUGACCCUUCAGAGUACCCAGAAUUAGCCUACUGCAGUUUUACUUUCAUGUUUUGUUUCAAUGUGCUUUAAAACAUUGGUUAGAUUUAUUUUAUAUUUUGUGAGUAAUCAUACUGACGCAAUGUUCAAUGGUUUUUGCUAAUAAAUGGAGAAUCUUUCUCGCCAUGCA